rnacentral:rRNA from 1 species
UACAUGGGGUGCAAACGUUGCUCGGAAUUAUUGGGCGUAAAGAGCUCGUAGGCGGCUUGUUGCGUCGACUGUGAAAAACCACGUCUCAACCGUGGGACUGCAGUCGAUACGGGCAGGCUAGAGUUCGGUAGGGGAGGACUGGAAUUCCUGGUGUAGCGGUGAAAUGCGCAGAUAUCAGGAGGAACACCAGCGGCGAAGGCGGUGCUCUGGGCCGGAACUGACACUGAGGAGCGAAAGCGUGGGUAGCAAACAGG